rnacentral:rRNA from 1 species
AUUAAACGCUGGCGGCAUGCCUUACACAUGCAAGUCGAACGGCAGCACGGGGGCAACCCUGGUGGCGAGUGGCGGACGGGUGAGUAAUACAUCGGAACGUGCCCUGGAGUGGGGGAUAACGCAGCGAAAGCUACGCUAAUACCGCAUAUUCUGUGAGCAGGAAAGCAGGGGAUCGCAAGACCUUGCGCUUUGGGAGCGGCCGAUGUCGGAUUAGCUAGUUGGUGGGGUAAAAGGCCUACCAAGGCGACGAUCCGUAGCGGGUCUGAGAGGAUGAUCCGCCACACUGGGACUGAGACACGGCCCAGACUCCUACGGGAGGCAGCAGUGGGGAAUUUUUGGACAAUGGGCGGAAGCCUGAUCCAGCCAUGCCGCGUGAGUGAAGAAGGCC